CUAGCAUUUACAUUACGUUGCUUAAAAUCAAUUUCUGAAUACUAAAUUAACCUAUUGGUCCUACUCUUCCACGUGCAUGCUUAUUUUUGCCUAUUGCUAGAAACUUAUGAAAUAUGUUUAUCAUCCGCACAUUAACUAUGUUGAAUUCUUCAUGUCAUCUUUCGUUGCACAGCCAUGAUAAAUAAACCAAAUCUAUAACUAUGUUGCACUAUGUAUCUUAAUUUCGAGGCUUAAAUUAAGAAUUAUGCUUCAAUGCAUGUAUAUACUAAAACUCAACAUGAUCAACCACUAAAGGGGAAUAAAUUCACCUCAACCAAUAUUCAUGUUUUCAAACUCAUUACUAAUCCUCAACAGAGAAUGACUUAACCUGGUUAAUGAAAGAGACAACUAUUGACUUGUAACGUAUAAUGAUUUUAUGUAAGAUGACUAAGAAUAAAUAAGACUUAUCAUUUCUAAAUUAUUUUGUGAUCUGAUGAAGGAAAAUUCUUCUUCUCCCUUGAAAAAUGUAUG
rnacentral:lncRNA from 1 species